rnacentral:rRNA from 1 species
AGCGGAGGAAAAGAAACCAACAGGGAUUGCCCUAGUAACGGCGAGUGAAGCGGCAACAGCUCAAAUUUGAAAUCUGGCCUUCGGGUCCGAGUUGUAAUUUGUAGAGGAUGCUUUUGGUGCGGUGCCUUCCGAGUUCCCUGGAACGGGACGCCAUAGAGGGUGAGAGCCCCGUCUGGUUGGAUACCAAUCCUCUGUAAAGCUCCUUCGACGAGUCGAGUAGUUUGGGAAUGCUGCUCUAAAUGGGAGGUAUAUGUCUUCUAAAGCUAAAUACCGGCCAGAGACCGAUAGCGCACAAGUAGAGUGAUCGAAAGAUGAAAAGCACUUUGAAAAGAGGGUUAAACAGUACGUGAAAUUGUUGAAAGGGAAGCGCUUGUGACCAGACUUGGGCAUGGUUAAUCAUCCAGCGUUCUCGCUGGUGCACUUGGCCUGCCCAGGCCAGCAUCAGUUCGGUGCGGGGGAUAAAGGCUUCGGGAAUGUGGCUCCUCCGGGAGUGUUAUAGCCCGUUGUGCAAUACCCUGCGCUGGACUGAGGUUCGCGCAUCUGCAUGGAUGCUGGCGUAAUGGUCAUCAGCGACCCGUCUUGAAACACGGACCAAGGAGUCGUCCUCGUAUGCGAGUGUUCGGGUGUUAAACCCCUACGCGUAAUGAAAGUGAACGCAGGUGAGAGCUUCGGCGCAUCAUCGACCGAUCCUGAUGUUCUCGGAUGGAUUUGAGUAAGAGCAUACGGGGCCGGACCCGAAAGAAGGUGAACUAUGCCUGUAUAGGGUGAAGCCAGAGGAAACUCUGGUGGAGGCUCGCAGCGGUUCUGACGUGCAAAUCGAUCG